UACAGAGGGUGCGAGCGUUGUCCGGAAUCACUGGGCGUAAAGGGCGCGUAGGUGGCGCGACAAGUCAGUGGUGAAAGUUCGACGCUCAACGUCGAAUCGGCCACUGAUACUGUUGGGCUUGAGCACUGUAGAGGCUAAUGGAAUUCCGGGUGUAGCGGUGGAAUGCGUAGAGAUCCGGAAGAACACCGGUGGCGAAGGCGGUUAGCUGGGCAGUUGCUGACACUGAGGCGCGACAGCGUGGGGGAGCAAACAGG
rnacentral:rRNA from 1 species